UAACAACUCUCAGCAACGGAUAUCUUGGCUCUUGCAACGAUGAAGAACGCAGCGAAACGCGAUAUUUAAUGUGAAUUGCAGAAUUCCGCGAAUCAUCGAGUCUUUGAACGCAAGUUGCGCCCGAGGCUUGUCCAAGGGCAUUUCCAGCUAGAGCGUCACC
rnacentral:rRNA from 2 species